rnacentral:rRNA from 1 species
GACGAACGCUGGCGGCGUGCUUAACACAUGCUUUUCGAACGGAAAGGCCCUGCUUUUGUGGGGUGCUCGAGUGGCGAACGGGUGAGUAACACGUGAGUAACCUGCCCUUGACUUUGGGAUAACUUCAGGAAACUGGGGCUAAUACCGGAUAGAAGCUCCUGCUGCNAUGGUGGGGGUUGGAAAGUUUCGGCGGUUGGGGAUGGACUCGCGGCUUAUCAGCUUGUUGGUGGGGUAGUGGCUUACCAAGGCUUUGACGGGUAGCCGGCCUGAGAGGGUGACCGGCCACAUUGGGACUGAGAUACGGCCCAGACUCCUACGGGAGGCAGCAGUGGGGAAUAUUGCACAAUGGGCGGAAGCCUGAUGCAGCAACGCCGCGUGCGGGAUGACGGCCUUCGGGUUGUAAACCGCUUUCGCCUGUGACGAAGCGUGAGUGACGGUAAUGGGUAAAGAAGCACCGGCUAACUACGUGCCAGCAGCCGCGGUGAUACGUAGGGUGCGAGCGUUGUCCGGAUUUAUUGGGCGUAAAGGGCUCGUAGGUGGUUGAUCGCGUCGGAAGUGUAAUCUUGGGGCUUAACCCUGAGCGUGCUUUCGAUACGGGUUGACUUGAGGAAGGUAGGGGAGAAUGGAAUUCCUGGUGGAGCGGUGGAAUGCGCAGAUAUCAGGAGGAACACCAGUGGCGAAGGCGGUUCUCUGGGCCGUUCCUGACGCUGAGGAGCGAAAGCGUGGGGAGCGAACAGGCUUAGAUACCCUGGUAGUCCACGCUGUAAACGGUGGGUACUAGGUGUGGGGUCCAUUCCACGGGUUCCGUGCCGUAGCUAACGCUUUAAGUACCCCGCCUGGGGAGUACGGCCGCAAGGCUAAAACUCAAAGGAAUUGACGGGGCCCCGCACAAGCGGCGGAGCAUGCGGAUUAAUUCGAUGCAACGCGUAGAACCUUACCUGGGUUUGACAUGGAUCGGGAGUGCUCAGAGAUGGGUGUGCCUCUUUUGGGGUCGGUUCACAGGUGGUGCAUGCCUGUCGUCAGCUCGUGUCGUGAGAUGUUGGGUUAAGUCCCGCAACGAGCGCAACCCUUGUUCACUGUUGCCAGCACGUUAUGGUGGGGACUCAGUGGAGACCGCCGGGGUCAACUCGGAGGAAGGUGGGGAUGACGUCAAGUCCUCAUGCCCCUUAUGUCCAGGGCUUCACGCAUGCUACAAUGGCUGGUACAGAGAGUGGCGAGCCUGUGAGGGUGAGCGAAUCUCGGAAAGCCGGUCUCAGUUCGGAUUGGGGUCUGCAACUCGACCUCAUGAAGUCGGAGUCGCUAGUAAUCGCAGAUCAGCAACGCUGCGGUGAAUAAAUUCCCGGGGCU